UUUUAUAAAAGCUUAACAGUACAAGAGGAUUUGAAAGACCAAUACAAACAUUAAGAGCACCUCCAUCGGAGGCUUUUAUAAAAGGUUCUAAAAAAAACCAAAAAAAAUAAAUAAAAAAAAUGAUAAAACAAGAGAACCGCCGUCUAAUAUAGGGCUUUUGGAAUCGGUAAAAACCCCAUACGUGCUUCCUUGGUAUUGGUCGUCUCUCUCUUCCUCGAUGCUUUUUUUUCUCUCAAAAAUCUCGUCGUCGUUCUUUGUUGUUGCUCUCCUCCUGCAAAUCCGUCCAUGAAAUCAAGGUGAAGAUUCGAAUUCUUUGAGUUUUUUGUAUUGAUUUAAAGCUUGUGAACCUCGUUGGAAUUGAAAUUUGGUUUUGAUGUGAGAUUAUCUUGCGGAGGUUUUGGUAUAUGAACCAAGGUAAGGAACAAGAAUCUCUGUUUCUUUUCUGUUUUGUUUUGUUUCCUUCAUUUUUUUUUCACUUUAAUUUGUGAAUUGUGGUGUGAUUGUAUUCUCGUUUAUUGGUCUCCCUCUGCUACUUCAUAGUUAAUAGUUUUGCAGUAUCCUUUAACGUUAUGUUUGUAUUGAUUUGGCUGAUAUUGUGGACAUGUGGUUUUGGAAUACUCUACUUGAUGUUUGACUAGUUCCCUGUUGGUUUAAUGGUUUCAGUUGAGAAAUUCUUGUAGUUGGUUGCUAAUCUGUUUCUCCUUGAUUUGUCAGCGUCAAGUUGGAACGCAUUGUGUAAUUUGCUGAUGAGUCUAUGAGAAACACUUAGGCUUUCCUUUGUAAAUUGUAUUAUAGCUCAUUACUUUCAUUCGUAUCUAAGAAAUCUAGAUGUGCACCUUAUGUGGCAACAGUUUAGUUCACUUACUUGUAGGCCUGCUUCUCACAUCAUUCUGGGACUUGUGGAAUCUAACUUAGUAAAAACACCUGGGAUCCCUCCUUCACUUGAUGAACUACUACUACUGUACAAGUUAGAUUAUUGGUAACUUCUUUUGAUGUUCCACAUUGGUAGCUUCUCCUCUGCUAUAGGACCAAUAGAGUAGUUUCCUUCAAGAAUUUACUCUCUUACAUUACUGUGUUAUUGCUAGCAAAUUGAAAACAAUUAUAUUUGAUGCUUGCAGUGAAGUAAGCGAUACAGAUGACUAUGAUUCAGAUUCCAGCAUCUGCACAAUUAUGUAGUCCUCAACCAACCACCAUUAACAUGGAGUUUUAACAAUGAGCUCGUCCUUUGUGUCUAGCUUCUUUUUAAGCAAUCAAUUCUUUUGUGAUCAA
rnacentral:lncRNA from 1 species